AAUGGUGAACUAAACCCUAUUGUUGUUGGGGGAAACAAUGUAAUCUUUUGAUACUCUCUUUUAUUGAAACUCUUGAUUAUUUAUAUGGUCUCCAUAUGUUUUGAUUGAGAAUUGUUGGGUUAUCAUCUGUGCUUAAGGCCUUUAUCGUUUAACUCAUUCGNUAACUGAUGUUUGUCUUUAUUGAUAUGGGGACGUACAGUAAUGACAUGAACUGGUGAGUAAUUUCUUGAUUUUGCAAUACCACCUAGGGAUAGGGGUAGGACNAUCAAUUGCGCUAACUUCUUUUUAUAAUGCGGUAUUAAUUGCUAGGGGAGGCUAGGGACAGCAAGCCAGUAGUUAAUAUUAGGCUCUUUUCGUCGAGGGAUCGGGUUAAGGGGAGGUUAAGAAAGUCGCAUAACAAUUAAUUAAUCAAACUAAUUUUCAAGAGGAGUAGGUAAGAGAGAGCGGAUUAGAUGAAAUUGUAAACCCCCAACAACUCCAUUCAUUCAUCCACUUUUGUGUUUAACCUCAAUUGAUCAAAUUGCAUUCAUGUUUAUUUUUCUGCACUUUAUAAAAAUCCCAAAAUAUUAUUUUUUAUAGUCUUGAUUGGUUAAGCAAAAGCACAACAGUUAGUGUCGUGAGUCUCUUGGGAAAACGAUACUUGGACUUACCAUUUUAUUAUUACUUGAACGAUUUGGUACGCUUGCCAAUCCGUUAACAAGUUUUUGGCGUCGUUGCCGGGGACUCAUGGUAGAACUAUUCGGUGUUUGCGAUUCUUGAUCGAUUAAACUUUCUUUUUAUUUUAUUUGUCUUAUUUGAUUUGAUUUUAUCUUAUUUUGUUUUAUUUGAUUUGAUUUGAUUUGAUUUGAUUUGAUUUGAUUUGAUUUUAUUUUUAUUUUUCUUUUUAUCUUUCUGUUUUUAUUUUUUAUUUUUAAAAAAAAAACGAAAAAAAAAAUAAAAUAAUAUCUUUCCAUAUUCUUCUCCUUAUUCUUCUUCACAUUCUUUCCCUCAUCCUUUUUCUUAUCUUUCCAUCUAUCUACCUCUCUAUCUUUCUAUUUAUUUUUCUUUUUAUCUUUUUAUUUUAUUUUUUUAUGUAUUUAUUUAUUUUUUUCCUUUUAUCUUUUCUUAAAAAAAACGAAAAUUAAAAUUAAAAUAAAAAUAAAAAAUUAUCUUUUACUAUUUUUAUUUUGGUUAAAAGCUCUGUUUGGUCCCAAUUUUGGUUCAGAAAAUUCGUUUUGGUCCCUGAGUUGAAAUUGUGUUCAAUUUCGUCCCAAAGUUCGAUUUUAAUGUUCAAUUUGGUCCUUUUCCUUAACAACGUUAAAAUUGUUAACGGCAAGGUGUCCAGCUCUGCAACGGCUAUGUGAGGUGUCAGUUUUUUGCUGACUGGGCAUCCUUUCUAGCCGUUACAAAUUUUUAAAUUAAAUUUCUUAAUCAGAUUUUUGAUUUUAGGAAUAAAUUGAAGAGAGUGGAUUCUAAUUAGGGUUUUUGAUUUCCCAAUCUUUUUC
rnacentral:lncRNA from 1 species